UACAGAGGGUGCGAGCGUUAAUCGGAAUUACUGGGCGUAAAGCGUGUGUAGACGGUUAUCUAAGUCGGAUGUGAAAGCCCCGGGCUCAACCUGGGAAUUGCAUUCGAGACUGAAUAGCUAGGGUACGGUAGAGGGAAGUGGAAUUUCCGGUGUAGCGGUGAAAUGCGUAGAUAUCGGAAGGAACAUCAGUGGCGAAAGCGACUUCCUGGACCAGUACCGACGUUCAGGCACGAAAGCGUGGGGAGCAAACAGG
rnacentral:rRNA from 1 species